ensembl:misc_RNA 7SK 7SK RNA
AGAUUUAAGAAUGAUUUGGUUGAUUCAUCUGACUGAUCUGGCGAGGCUGGUGUCCCCUGCUUCGCUCAUCAUUUUAUGUGCAUGUUUUCAAAAGCUGUGUACUUAUCAAACAGGAUGACCACCCCAGACAGUAAAGGGCCAUUCCACUGGUCUGGGGCAUGCAAGUAGCCACACUCCCCAAGUAGGUCCUCCAAACCAGCUCCUAAAGAAAAGUGGGAUGAUAUAUUGACACAUGCAAAAUAUUAAACUUGAAAGUGUAAACAGUAA